AGUCCCGGUUCCCCGCCAUGAGCACGACCUGUGUGAGAGCACAGGGUAUCUGGGCAGAAGGAAAACUAGGGGAGCCUCAUCCAGCGCUGGAGAUGGAGAAGCUUUGGGCUUCUCGACGGCGAGGCACCCGGGGAACGGGGAGUCACUUAGAACCUCAAAGUAGCCUCGGGCGAGAACAAGCGAAGCAAUUCCAAGCUCUACCAGGUCACGGAGGGCGCGAAACCCGCCCCGCGCUCCGGCCGGCCGGCAGGGGGCGCGCGCUCCCCGAACUCCCGCGCACCGCGGAGGAGGCGGCCCUGGCGCGGGGAAGCAGUGGGAAAAUCGCAAGGAAGCCGGCGCUGCUCUGAAGGGAGAGUCUGUGCAGUGGCACCUGCGCGAAGCUGGCCAAAGCCUGCCCAGACGGCUCACCUGUGCGGGAUGGAACAAAAGAAUUUCGCUCUUGUUGCCCACUGUUGUCCAGGCUGGAGUGCAAUGGCACGAUCUCAGCUCACCACAACCUCCGCCUCCUGGGUUCAAGUGAUUCUCCUACCUCAGCCUCCUGAGUAGCUGGGAUUACAGGUCGGCUUGAGGUUUGCGAGUCCCAGCUCCCACUGCCCCUGCCACCUGCCUUUCCCUUCUCAGGACAUACACAGGACUGGGAGAAAAUAGACUAAGUAUUUGAUAUUACA
rnacentral:lncRNA from 1 species